UUGAAAUUAAAAUCGAUGUUUUUCAUAAAAUAGAAACUGAAAUACAGAAUCAUUAAACAUUCGAAGUUUAAAAACUAAAAUACAAACUAAAACAUUCGAAAUUCAACACUCAUUAGAAAUGGAGUCGUCUGAAUCUGAAUUAUCUGAUUCUAAUGUAGACGGUAUGCUGGACUUCGAAGUGCACGCAAUGUUCGUCAAAUCGAGUCUGGAAGCCUUCAAAAGUUUAGUCAUCUGUUUGAACGUCGAUUUCAUUAAUUGAAACCUCUUCUUGUAUUUGGAGAUACCUUUUUGACUCUCGUUAUACUUGUUCUAAAAAUUAAAACAUAAAUGAGUUCGAUAAUCUUGAGGAUUGGGUGAUGAAGCUUUCUUACGAGAUAAUUGCUUCACUCUACGUUCUACGUGACAUUUUUAAAAUCUAAAAAGAAAAAUUAUUUAUUAAUUAUUAAACAAAUAAUUAAUUAAAUAAUCAUUUAUUUUCGAACAAAUAAUAAUUUCAUUAAUUAUCAAAUUUAAUUUCAUGGCUAAUUAAUGAUUAUUAUUUCAAUUUAAAAUCAUUCGAUUUAAUAAUUAUUAAAUAAGUAUUUUAUAAUUUUAUGCAAAUUCAAUUUAAAAUCAAUCAAUAAAAUCAAUUAAAUAUUUAUUAAUUAACAAAUUAAUAAUUUCAUGCAAAUUAAUCAUUAUUAAUACAAUUUAAAAUCAUUCAAUUUAAUAAUUAUUAAUUAACAAAUUUAUAAUUUCAUGCAAAUUAAUUAAAUUCUAUUAAGAUUAAUUAAAUAAUUUUAAAAUAAAAUGAUUAAUAUUUCAUUAUUAACAAAUGAAUUAAUAUUUAAUAAUUGUAAAUUAAUUAAUUAAUAUUCAAUUUAAUAAUUAAAUUGUUAGUUUCAUGCAAAUUAAUUAAAUUGUUAAUUAAAUCAUUCAAUUGUUAAUUAAUUUACAUUGUUAAUUAUAAUUUCAUAUUAUUAAAAAUAAAUUAAAUAAAUAAAGAAUUAUAAUUCUUACCGAUCAUUUAAAUAAACUUACUUCAAUCACAAUUUUACGAAUUUUCGAUUUCUCAAAACCUAAAAAAAAUCAACAAACACAAUAAUUAAUUAACACAUUGUUUAAAUUAUUUAAAAACAGUAAAUACAAUAAUUAAUUAUUUAUUUAUUUAAAAAUAGUAGAUUAAUUAAUUAUAAUAUUUUUUAACUAUUUGAAAACAUUAAAUAAUUUUUAAAAAAAAGUAUAUUAAUUAAUUAAAUAACUUAUUAUUUUAAUUUUAAAUAUUAAGAAACAGUAAUUAAAUAAUUAUUUAGAUAAUUAAUUAGUUGUUUAUAUUAUGUAGAAAUAGUAAUUAAAUAAUUAUUUAGGAAUUAAAUAAUUAUUUAGGAAUUCAACAUAUUAAACAACAAUUGACAAAAUAUUAGUAAGAUUUUUAAACAUGUACACAAAGAAUAUAUAGUUGAGCCAAAUUACAGUUACAGUAAGUAAAGAAGAUAUUACACAAACAAUUAAUAUUAGACAAAGACAAUUGUACACAAAGAAGAUAAGAAGAUAUUACAAAAUUAUUAUAAGAGGAUAUCAUUGUUUGAAUCACACAUUUCAAUUUCAAAAUCAAACAUUACCAAAAUACGAAAAUAUCACAUAUUGUCAAAUACAAUUAAAGAAGAACUAAAUUUCUCAAAUACAAAAUAUCACAUAUUUGAAUUGAUAGAAACGCUUAACCGUCGUUGAGAGCUCGACGGAAACGAAUCAACUCCGGCGAGCAAAGUCAAGAAGAUGUUGAAGAAUGAAUUGUG
rnacentral:lncRNA from 1 species